CAUUAAUAAUAAUUAAUUAUAAGUUUUAAAACAUUCAUUUAUUUUAUUAAGCCAACAACUAAAAUUUAGUAGCUUAAAAUGCAUCAACUAAUUAAUAUACGAAAGAAGGUUCCUUCAUCUUCCCUCACCAAUGCCACUAGGGCCUAAUUUUAAUGCAAUAAUCUUAUAUUUAAUUAUGCAACAUUUCGUUUACUGUCUUUUGGCUUAUUCAAAUUCUAUAAACAAUAAGUAUUUAAGAUUUGUUAUGUUUUGGUUUUUUUUUAUUAUUUAACCAACAUCCUUUUUAGAAAUAUUCGUGUUUUUAUUUUUUGACUUAUUUGAAUUUUUUAGUAUUGUGUGCUUCAUGGAGUACUUUUUUCUUCAUGAGUUGAAUAAUGAUAAAGAGAGUUGGAUAACGAGGGUUAGGCUUUAUAGGAUGUGGGAGCUAUUAUGUAACGCCACAAAUUCUCAUACAUAUUAAAUUAUGGAAAUUGGGCUUUCAUUGAGAAUUAUGGGUGGCCUAUAACCCUUAUUUAGAAAGGGGUACUAAUUAAAUAGAGGUUAUUUAUGAGAUCAUUUUGGAAAAGGGCUAUUUUUCCUUAUUGAAUAGGGUUUCUUAAGAUCCCCUAUAAAUACAUACUUUUCCCCCUUCCAUAACCCUAAGUUCACAACGUUUAUUCUUCUUCUCUGCUGCUCUUUACGCUCCUACCCAAAUCUUAGGAUUCAAACCUUUGUUUAGGAGAGAAUCAAAGCGACGGGUAAGUUCACAACGUUUAUUCUGAACAGCAUGAGUAUCUCGAAUUUUUAAAGCUAUAUUUUCUGAACGAAUUUUCUUAUAAAAUUUAUAUUUCUGGAAACUAGACAUGUAGGGCUUCUUGAUUAAAUUUUAUUUCAUUAAAUUCAACUUCGUUUUCAAUUUUAUACGUAUUUUGGAAAUAGAAACCACUGCACUGGAAAUCCACGAUUCCAGUAUUGUGAUCAGAUUCACAAGACUAUUUGUACCACCAAAUGAACUCAAAAAAUUCUGAAAGUUUAUAUGUAUGUUAAUAUAUGUGUUUAGGAUUCCCAGUUUUAAUUUCAUAAUUUUCUGAUUAGUAUUUUAUUUUAUAAAAAUCAUGGAACCCGUUCUGUUUGGUUUAGAUUAUGUGAAAACAGUUUCGAAUUUGCUGAGAAGUAAAUAGUUUUUAAAAUGUUUUUGAUAUCGGAUUCUCUUGUAAAUUUUACAUGGGGUACUCAUUGAUGUCCAAAAUGGUUCCAUAGGAUUUUAUAUCAUUCUGAGACUUGGAUUAAGAGUUAAAAUUCCGAGAAUCAGACCUGUAUGGGUAUGAAUUAGAAAAUCAAAUUCUUAGAAUAAGUUAUUGAUUGUCAUAUCUUGUAUUUGUUUAAGGUUUUGAAGGUGUUUGAGGCUCUUAGAAGCUUUAGAGGUGUGUUAAUUCAAAUUCAUUUGUCGAGAUAAGUAACUUCAUUCCUAGUAUACUGGAUAUGUAUAAGUAUUUUGAUAUUAUUGUUAUAAGUAUAAAUGUUUUUAUACUACUUAAAGGAUUAAUUGAUUUUGAUAAUAAAAUUAGUUUUAUGUAAAUGUUUUAAAGCUAAAUUCUUUUUAACAAAGUAUUUUAUAAAUGCUUUUGAAUAUGUAAGUUAUUUUGUUACAUGCCUACUUUUAUGAUUUUAUUUAUAAAAUGUUAUGCAAGCCUAAAUUAUUGAUAUGAACUUUUAUGAAACUGAUACGAAUGUUUUGUACCUAUGUUUGAUUUCAAUUAUUGAUGAUUGUAUGAGAUUCUUAAUGUUUUGGCUCAUUGUCCAUAGUUAUUCUAAUUCUGAUUCUGAUUCUAAUCGUAAUAUACGAUAUAUCUGUCUGGACCAGUACUGGGUUUCUGUUCUGAAUGUGCACACGAUAUUCUGAUUCUGUUUCUGGCCGGGUCACCGGGACUAUAGGUGACACUAUGUGACAUGAGCUAACCUGUUUGUUUUCUGUAUACGUAUUACAUGAUUUGAUUCGUAAGUAAAUAUGCUUUUGAAUAUUCUGAAUUAUUAAGAAUUUAUCUUAUGUUAUUGUGAUAUAUCGUUUUAUGAAAUUUAUGGAUUAUGAUAUAUGCUUUAAACAAAAGAAGGCUUGCAAUAUUUUUGGUAUCGAUAGGCCUAGUGUGUUAGGAAUGGUUUUACUUACCGAGUUGACGGCUCACCCCUCGUCAUUACUUUUUUUUGCAGAUUAAGUUUCUUUUGAGAGGUGCACUUAGCUUUGGAGUUAGUGAUUUCCAGUUUCCGUUUGACAUUGAAUAAGAGGAGGAAUAGACUUGUGUUUCUAUUUAGUUACUUUUAUUAUGAACGUGUAAUUUGGAGUUUGAGACUUUUGUUAUUAUUUUUAUAUGUCCUCGAGAGAGAUUAUUUAGUAUUUGACGUUUGGAUUUAUGGAUUUAUUUGAAUAAGAAUUGGAGGAAUUUCAGUUUGAAACUUAUGAGUAAAGAUUAUGAUUUGUGAGUAACCUCCUUCUUCACGUGCUCCGCACGUGUUAGAUUUGGGGUGUUACAAUUGUGGUAUCAGAGCAACUAGGUUAGGAUUCUGUAGACUUUCUUUUACGGUUUAAUUAGAUUGUCUAAUUAAAUCGAUUACAUUUGUUUUGUAGACAUGAAGAAGGACAAUAUGGGUAUGAAAAGUGUCAAGAAUAAGGGAUGGACAGAAAUUGAUUGGACCGAACAAUUUAUCUUAAGAGGAGUUCUUGUCAAAGAUCUUAGUUAUACUAUUUAUUGCUCUUGUUUUCAAUAACAAAUUUUCUUAGUUAUACUACUUAUUCAGUACUCUGCGCGCUUGCACGACCUUUAGCUAUGAAUUAUUUACCCUUUUUAAUUAUUUAUUUAUUCUCUGUGUUAUAGUCAAGAGAUGUCACGUAAGGGAGGUGCUAGGCAUGCCUCUAGCUCGAGAGAUGUUUUAGGUAUCGCUGACGACGCUGACCCAACCUUGCACGAGAUGGCUAACGAAGGAAAUCCUAUGAUGCGCGCAAUGCUUAGAUUGAUGGAACAACAAAGUAAGUUAAUUCAAGAUAUGGCUAGAGGCAGAGUUGGGGCACAAGAGAAUGUGCCAGUUGAAAGGCAAGGUGGCGCAAGAGAUCAUGGGGCUAUGGUGAACUUAGAACGAUUUAAGAAAUUGGGACCACCUACCUUUCAGGGGACUGUCGAUCCCAUGGUUGCAGAGGCAUGGCUAAAACAGAUGGAGAAGAUAUUUGUGGCUAUGGGUUGUAAUGAUGAUCAAAGGGUAAUAUUAGCCUCAUUUGUCCUUCAGGGUGAGGCAGACCACUGGUGGGAUGCCAAAUCUCGUCUCAUAAGGGCUGGCUUGCAAAAUGCACCCAUUACUUGGGAGUUAUUUUUGGAGGCUUUUCAUGAAAAGUAUUUUCCUGAACGAGUUCGACAUCGGAUAGAGGCUGAUUUCUUGAGGUUGACUCAAGGAACAAAGUCUGUUGCAGAGUAUGAGGAACAAUUUACUGCCCUCUCUCGUUUUGCUCAUACCUUGGUUGCUAAUGAAGGUAGUAAGUGUAGGAAGUUCCUGGAAGGGUUACGUCCUAACAUUAAAGGGCGAUUGACCAUCCUUAAGAUUAACAAUUAUGCCGAUUUGGUGGACCGAGCAAUUCUUGCGGAGAAGGAUAUUCUUGAAGCCCAAGUUACAAGGGAUCAGAGAAAUAAGAAGAAUCAACAAGGUGGACCGCGAAAUGGAAGUUCCUUUAGGCAGGGCACUCACUCCCAGAAGUAUAAUGGUGGAGGUAACAAAUGGGAUAACAAGGGUGUUACUGGUGACACCGCUCGGAGGAACUACCCCAUUUGUCGACAUUGUGAAAGGAGGCACCCUGGUGAAUGCCAUUGGAAAACUGGAGCUUGUUUUGCUUGUGGAGAAUCUGGGCAUAGGAUUAUGGAUUGCCCAAAGAGACGUAGCGAGACUACAAAUACUCCGACUAACGAAGGGCAGAGGAAGAAACCGAGGGUGCAAGGGCGUGUUUUUGCACUAACAGAAAAAGAUGCUGAGGUGUCCAAUGAUGUAGUAUCAGGUACAUUGUCCUUAUUCUCUAGAGAAGCCAAAGUUCUUUUUGAUCCUGGUGCUACACAUUCAUUUGUAUCUUGUGUGUUUGCCCGUUAUGCUAAUGUGCCUAUCACACCACUGGAUGUUCACGUGACAAUUAGUACCCCUAUGGGGGAUUGCCAGUUUAUAGAUCAUGUCUAUAAGUCAUGUGUGAUCAGAUUGUGUGAUAAAGAAUUCCUUGUGGAUCUCCUACCUUUAGCGAUGCACGAUUUUGAUUUGAUUUUGGGGAUGGAUUGGUUAGGACCUUACCAUGUUUCAAUAGAUUGUUUUGCUAAGGAAAUUAUUUUUCGCCUACCUGGUGAGGAAGAAUUUCAUUUUCAAGGGAAUCAUAAGAGUCAUAAAGCUUUGAUUUCUAUGGUUAAGGCAAUGAAAAUGCUAAAGAAGGGGUGUGAAGGAUUUUUAGCGUAUAUAGUUGCUGACCAUCCCGAUGGGGCGUGCCUUGAAGACAUUCCUACUGUAAGGGAGUUUAUUGAUGUAUUUCCUGAAGAUCUUCCGGGACUACCCCCAGAUCGAGAGGUUGAGUUUACUAUAGAAUUAGUUCCUGGUACUACACCUAUAUCCAAGGCACCAUAUCGGAUGGCACCCAUUGAAUUAAAAGAACUAAAGGUCCAGCUACAAGAAUUACUAGAUAAGGGUUUCAUUCGUCCUAGUGUGUCGCCUUGGGGUGCUCCCGUUUUGUUCGUAAAGAAGAAAGAUGGUUCAAUGAGGUUGUGUAUAGACUACCGGCAGUUGAAUAUGGUUACCGUCAAGAAUAAAUACCCUCUUCCCCGAAUUGAUGACCUCUUUGAUCAAUUACGAGGUGCAGCGGUAUUCUCUAAAAUUGAUUUACGAUCUGGCUACCAUCAAUUGAAAAUAAGAAGUGAGGAUGUAUCGAAGACAGCUUUUCGAACUCGUUAUGGACACUAUGAGUUCUUAGUUAUGCCUUUUGGAUUAACUAAUGCUCCUGCAGCGUUCAUGGAUUUGAUGAAUAGGAUCUUCCAACCUUAUCUUGACCAAUUUGUCAUCGUCUUUAUUGAUGACAUAUUAAUUUACUCUAAGAGUAAGAAGGAGCAUGAGUCGCACCUGAGGAUUGUAUUAGAAACAUUGCGGAAGAAGAAGUUGUAUGGAAAAUUUAAGAAAUGUGAGUUUUGGCUUGAUCGUGUGAUGUUUUUGGGACAUAUAGUGACGAAGGAUGGUAUUUCAGCAGAUCCAGCCAAAGUGGAGGUAAUUGUGAAUUGGGAAAGGCCUGCUAGUGUGACUGAAGUAAGGAGUUUCUUAGGAUUGGCAGGUUAUUAUAGGCGCUUUGUCAAAGGAUUUUCUAGCAUAGCAGCACCAUUGACUAAUUUGACUAAGAAGAAUGUGAAGUUCAAUUGGGAUGAGGCAUGUGAAAAGAGCUUUCAAGAGCUCAAGAGUCAUUUGGUGACUGCCCCCGUUUUAACUCUCCCUUCUGAAGGUGGAGGUUUUGUGAUUUACAGUGAUGCUUCCAGAAAAGGUUUGGGUUGCGUUUUAAUGCAACAUGGUAAGGUUAUAGCAUAUGCUUCUAGGCAGCUAAAGAAUCAUGAACAAAACUACCCAACACACGAUUUGGAAUUGACUGCUAUAGUGUUUGCUCUAAAAAUCUGGAGACACUAUUUGUAUAGGGAGACUUGUGAGAUCUUCACCGAUCAUAAGAGUUUGAAGUACUUGUUUACUCAAAAGGAAUUGAAUUUGAGGCAAAGAAGAUGGUUGGAGUUGGUAAAGGAUUUUGAUUGUUCUAUUAAUUACCAUCCAGGUAAGGCAAACGUGGUAGCAGAUGCCUUGAGUAGGAAAUCAUCUGGGUGCAUGGCUCAUCUUAUCACCAUGCAAUCUCAUUUGGUAAAAGACUUGAGGAGAUGUGGGAUUGAGGUAGUUACUCAUGGGCAAGCAGACGUGUUAGCACAUUUGACAGUCCAACCCACUCUAAUUGAUAGAGUUAAGGUAGCUCAGAAGAACGACAUAGAACUCAAUAAAAUCCGUGAAGAUGUAAGCAAAGGACAUAAGCUCGGAUUUAGACUUGAUAAUGGGGAUGGAUUAUGGUUGGGACAAAGGUUAUGCGUGCCAGCAGACGAAGAGUUGAAGGCAGAGAUCUUAAGAGAAGCUCAUGAAUCAUCUUACAGUAUGCAUCCUGGUAGUACUAAGAUGUAUCGUGAUCUAAAGCAAAGUUUUUGGUGGAGGAAUAUAAAGAGAGAUAUUGCUGCUUUUGUGUCUCGGUGUUUAGUCUGCCAACAAGUAAAGAUUGAGCAUCAAAGACCAGCAGGAACUUUACAAACGCUUCCUAUUCCUCAGUGGAAAUGGGAACACAUAACAAUGGAUUUCGUUUCUGGAUUACCUCGUUCUAGGAGGGGAUGUGAUUGCAUUUGGGUAAUUGUUGAUCGAUUGACGAAAUCAGCUCAUUUCUUGGCAAGGAAGAGUACAGACAAUGUAGGGCAACUAGCUAAGUUGUUCAUUAAGGAGAUAGUGAGGCUUCAUGGGGUUCCAGUAUCAAUAGUGUCUGAUAGAGAUCCACUGUUCACUUCAAGAUUUUGGGCUAGCUUACAUAAAGAGUUGGGGACGAAAUUGAGAUUUAGCACUGCUUUCCAUCCACAGACAGAUGGGCAAUCAGAAAGGACUAUUCAAACCCUUGAGGAUAUGCUUCGAGCUUGCGUCCUAGACUUGAGUGGUGGUUGGGAAGAGCACCUAAUGUUGAUCGAAUUUGCUUAUAACAAUAACUUCCAUUCGAGUAUUGGCAUGGCACCAUUUGAGGCAUUAUAUGGAAGAAAGUGUAGGUCCCCAAUCUGUUGGGAUGAAGUUGGUGAAAGAAAACUUUUGGGUCCAGAAUUAAUACAGAUUACUGUUGAUAAAAUCAAGUUGAUUAGAGGACGUCUUCAAACAGCUCAGAGCAGACAGAAGAGUUAUGCAGAUCGUCGUAGACGUGAGUUGGAAUUCGAAAAAGGAGAUUUUGUUUUCUUGAAAGUAUCGCCAUGGAAAGGGGUGUUUCGGUUCGGGAAGACAGGAAAGCUUAGCCCUAGAUUUAUUGGACCAUUUGAGAUUUUAGAGAGAAUUGGUCCGGUGGCCUAUCGCAUAGCUUUACCACCAAGUCUGUCUAGGCUUCACAAUGUAUUUCAUGUGUCUGUGUUAAGAAAGUACAUUGCAGACCCUUUACAUGUGCUAGACUAUCAACCGAUUCAGAUAAAUGAAGACAUGUCGUAUGAGGAACAGCCUAUUGAGAUUGUCGAUCGAGACGAACAAGUAUUAAGGAAUAGAGUUAUUCCCCUAGUGAAGGUACGAUGGAUGAAUCAUUCUAUUGAGGAAGCCACUUGGGAGAGAGAAGCAGAAAUGUUGGAGAAGUAUCCUCAACUCUUCCAUGCAUAAGGUAACCUUUUAAUUUCGAGGACGAAAUUUUUGUUAGGAGGGGAGAAAUUGUAACGCCACAAAUUCCCAUACAUAUUAAAUUAUGGAAAUUGGGCUUUCAUUGAGAAUUAUGAGUGGCCUAUAACCCUUAUUUAGAAAGGGGUACUAAUUAAAUAGAGGUUAUUUAUGAGAUCAUUUUGGAAAAGGGCUAUUUUUCCUUAUUGAAUAGGGUUUCUUAAGAUCCCCUAUAAAUACAUACUUUUCCCCCUUCCAUAACCCUAAGUUCACAACGUUUAUCCUUCUUCUCUGCUGCUCUUUACGCUCCUACCCAAAUCUUAGGAUUCAAACCUUUGUUUAGGAGAGAAUCAAAGCGACGGGUAAGUUCACAACGUUUAUUCUGAACAGCAUGAGUAUCUCGAAUUUUUAAAGCUAUAUUUUCUGAACGAAUUUUCUUAU
rnacentral:lncRNA from 1 species